rnacentral:rRNA from 1 species
GACGAACGCUGGCGGCGUGCUUAACACAUGCAAGUCGAACGGAAAGGCCCUGCUUUUGUGGGGUGCUCGAGUGGCGAACGGGUGAGUAACACGUGAGUAACCUGCCCUUGACUUUGGGAUAACUUCAGGAAACUGGGGCUAAUACCGGAUAGGAGCUCCUGUUGCAUGGUGGGGGUUGGAAAGUUUCGGCGGUUGGGGAUGGACUCGCGGCUUAUCAGCUUGUUGGUGGGGUAGUGGCUUACCAAGGCUUUGACGGGUAGCCGGCCUGAGAGGGUGACCGGCCACAUUGGGACUGAGAUACGGCCCAGACUCCUACGGGAGGCAGCAGUGGGGAAUAUUGCACAAUGGGCGGAAGCCUGAUGCAGCAACGCCGCGUGCGGGAUGACGGCCUUCGGGUUGUAAACCGCUUUCGCCUGUGACGAAGCGUGAGUGACGGUAAUGGGUAAAGAAGCACCGGCUAACCACGUG